AGACUGCAAGCCCCUCGGGUGCAGCAGUGGGAUCUCCUCCACAUGGGUUUCCCAAGGGUGUGUGACGCUGGGCUAUAGGAAUGUUUAUGCCCCGGAACUGCCACUUUGGAAGCAGAUGGAGUCUCUGUGGCCCAGGCCGGACUGCAGUGGCACGAUCCCAGCUCACUGCAACCUCCACCUCCCGUGUUCAAGUGAUUCCCCUGCCUCAGCCUCCCGAGUAGCUUAGACUACAUGCUUGAGCCACCACAACCAGAUGCCUGGCCAUCUUCCAGCCAGGCAGAGGGGCUUCGCCAGACACAGAUCUCUGCCUUCCCAUCCCCCAGAACUGCAGGAAAGGAAGAUCUGUCAGCCCACACUGAGCAAGAUAGUGCUAUUCACAGAAAAGGACCUUCCAUAAGAAGACACAAGGAGGACAAGGCUACAGGGGGAAUUCACCAG